rnacentral:rRNA from 1 species
AUUGAACGCUGGCGGCAUGCCUUACACAUGCAAGUCGAACGGUAACGCGGGGCAACCUGGCGACGAGUGGCGAACGGGUGAGUAAUAUAUCGGAACGUGCCCAGUAGUGGGGGAUAACGUAGCGAAAGCUACGCUAAUACCGCAUACGAUCUACGGAUGAAAGCGGGGGAUCGCAAGACCUCGCGCGAUUGGAGCGGCCGAUAUCAGAUUAGCUAGUUGGUGGGGUAAAGGCCGACCAAGGCGACGAUCUGUAGCUGGUCUGGGAGGACGACCAGCCACACUGGAACUGAGACACGGUCCAGACUCCUACGGGAGGCAGCAGUGGGGAAUUUUGGACAAUGGGCGCAAGCCUGAUCCAGCAAUGCCGCGUGCAGGAUGAAGGCCUUCGGGUUGUAAACUGCUUUUGUACGGAGCGAAACGGUCCUUUCUAAUAUAAGGGGCUAAUGACGGUACCGUAAGAAUAAGCACCGGCUAACUACGUGCCAGCCGCCGCCGUAAGAC